rnacentral:rRNA from 1 species
UACAGAGGUCCCAAGCGUUGUUCGGAUUCAUUGGGCGUAAAGGGUGCGUAGGUGGCGCGGUAAGUCGGGUGUGAAAUUUCGGAGCUUAACUCCGAAACUGCAUUCGAUACUGCCGUGCUUGAGGACUGGAGAGGAGACUGGAAUUUACGGUGUAGCAGUGAAAUGCGUAGAGAUCGUAAGGAAGACCAGUGGCGAAGGCGGGUCUCUGGACAGUUCCUAACACUGAGGCACGAAGGCCAGGGGAGCAAACGGG